UACAGAGGUCCCAAGCGUUGUUCGGAUUCACUGGGCGUAAAGGGUGCGUAGGUGGGCAGUUAAGUCAGUGGUGAAAUCUCCGGGCUCAACCCGGAAACUGCCAUUGAUACUAUCUGUCUUGAAUAUCGUGGAGGUAAGCGGAAUAUGUCAUGUAGCGGUGAAAUGCUUAGAUAUGACAUAGAACACCAAUUGCGAAGGCAGCUUACUACCCGAAUAUUGACACUGAGGCACGAAAGCGUGGGGAUCAAACAGG
rnacentral:rRNA from 1 species